GGAGAGGUGGCCGAGUUGGCUUAAGGCGCACGCCUGCUAAGUGUGUGUAGGGCCAAAACCCUACCGAGGGUUCGAAUCCCUCCCUCUCCGCCA
rnacentral:tRNA from 1 species